rfam:Triticum aestivum genome assembly, contig: Triticum_aestivum_CS42_TGACv1_scaffold_485481_6AS
UGGUUGCUGUGAUGAAUCGCAAGGACGGUAUCUGAGUAAUUUGGCUCUUGAAAAAGGCCACCUUCCUUGAUUACACAUCCUAAACUGAUCAUAUAUUCUGAGCAGGCA